GACGAACGCUGGCGGCGUGCUUAACACACGCAGGUCGAACGGUAAGGCCCUUCGGGGUACACGAGUGGCGAACGGGUGAGUAACACGUGGGUGAUCUGCCCUGCACUUCGGGAUAAGCCUGGGAAACUGGGUCUAAUACCGGAUAGGACCCUGGGAUGCAUGUCCUGGGGUGGAAAGCUUUUGCGGUGUGGGAUGGGCCCGCGGCCUAUCAGCUUGUUGGUGGGGUGAUGGCCUACCAAGGCGACGACGGGUAGCCGGCCUGAGAGGGUGACCGGCCACACUGGGACUGAGAUACGGCCCAGACUCCUACGGGAGGCAGCAGUGGGGAAUAUUGCACAAUGGGCGCAAGCCUGAUGCAGCGACGCCGCGUGAGGGAUGACGGCCUUCGGGUUGUAAACCUCUUUCAGCACCGACGAAGCGCAAGUGACGGUAGGUGCAGAAGAAGGACCGGCCAACUACGUGCCAGCCGCCGCAGUAA
rnacentral:rRNA from 1 species